UUCAUUACAUGGAAGCUUUGCAUUCAAUAAAAAUAAAGAAACGGUGGAUCUUUGUUAUAUUUAUUCUGUGGAAUUUUGUUCUAAUAUUUUAAGAACUUUAAAAGCAAAUAACAAUAAAAUAACUAACCUCAUUUACUCAUGAAACAUGAGAUGAACUGCUAUUAGAAGUUGAAAUGUGUCCGUAUCUGUUUUGUUCUUCCUACUAACUUUAUCCACAAACAUAACGCUUAAUGUAGUUCUAUAGACUAGUAUAUAUUUUUUGGUUAUGCCGAAAACGAGUCAUAGCCGGAGUUUGCCUCGAUGUGAAACCACAGAGGAAGGCAGGGACCGUCAAUAAAGUACACCAAAAAACCCCAGAAAUAAGCAGUUUCUCAGUUACUCACCAUAACAAUAAAGUUAAAAAAAGUUACUCACCAUAAAUAACUGCUAACAUCACAAGUACUCAUUAUUGUUCAAACAAACUCCACAUAAAUCCACAAUAUUAUUUUAUUACUGUUUUUCUUAGAGUGAACCAGCGUGUUCGAGUGAUGCAAGUUGUAGACGCGUCCUUCUUGUCACCUUAGGACAAAACUAAUAGUUCUAAAAAAGUUAUCAAAUUAUCAAAUUACUGGACUUUUUCUACACGCUGCAGCGCUUUCUAAAAUAAGCUGUUUAACAUUAAUUACAUUUAAAAAAAUGGCGGAUGAAACUACUAGUAGUUUCUGGCCCGCUAAUUUCCCCAAAUUUCGAUUCCGUUACAAUAAUAAAUGUUAAACUGCUUAUUAUUUCUGACUGUGGGUGUUUGUGGUCAAUUUCUCUGUAUUUGGACGUUCAGAAAGCGCUGCAGCGCGUAGAAAAAGUCCAGUUAUUUGAUAACUUUUUUUUGGAACUAUUAGCAUUGUAGUACUAGUAGUACUGCUUGUUUCAAAUCCGCCAUUUCGAGUUUUGAACAUUAGAAACAUAAAAUUGAAUCUGUUUCUUUUUACUGUGUUUUCGGCGCAACACAUUUAUACCAUUAUCUCACGAAAACAGUUGUUAUUAUCUCGUAGUAUGACUUAAUCACUCGAGAAAACGAACUUGAACAACAUGGCGGCCGUCGUCUUUCGUUUCCCUAAAAGUUUUUAACAAUUUCUUUGAUCUGAACCGCCACGUAUGAGCUGCUCGUCUUCUCAUGAUUGUCGCAUGUGUGAAGCUCAAAAAGCAGAAUUCUGCUCCUCACCGUCGUUUGGACUCAGGUUGAUCGGGAGAAGUAGGACAAGGAAGCACACAAGCCGAACCCAGAGCGGUUCUGAUCCGAACCUUUCACGCUGGAGUCCAGUAGGUGACUAGUCCGAGACAUUCAGGAAACGUCCGAAAAAGAAAAUCUCCCUUGAAAAAGUUUAGGAAUUUAGAAACAAUAAAGAAAGCACAAGUAAGAUUUUGUUUAUCUAUAAAUGGACCCCCCCCCCCACCACUGUAAAAUCAUUACUGAAAUAAGUAAAAUAAUAAACUAAAAAAUGAGGUUUUUAAAGACAACACAAACACAGUAAAAACAUUGAUUUCCACCUUUACUGAAUGUCUGUGAAUCUAUCAAUCGAUGACCUCACGUGUUCAUGGUUUUCAUCCAUUUACAGGUUCUUUUUGUUGAGAAAAUUCGUUCCAGUUGUUUGUUUCUUUAGAAGGAUCAGCAGCAGAUGAUUUUUAUGCUGCAACCGCGCACAGCGGGCCGCGAACUCGCGAGCUUCUGCACGGCGACAGGAAGUCUUCCUCCGACGGGCCUGAUCAGAGUGUUCCAACUUCUCAAUCAAUCAAAUGGCCAGAAUUGUUCCAAUUUCUAGUAUCAAACUUUGCUGUGUCCAAUCAGAGAGCCGGAUUCGUUCCAAUUCCUUCAAAUAACUGCCGGUUUUCCAUUAUUUUAAGACAAAUAAACAGUUUGCAUUAUUUCAAGUGUCUAAAAGAGAUUAAUGUAUUUGUGAAGAAGUGAACUCACGUUGUUACGUGUGUUUUAGUGAAAAAGGAAAAGGAAAGAACAUAUUUAAUACAAAGUUUGCAGGCGGAGAUGAUUUUGUUUUUACAGGGAACGUUUAUUUGCAAUAAAAGUAGAAUUGAAAAGAAAAUAUCAAGAAUAAACUUCUUUUGAAUCAGAACAUUUUUAAUAAUAGGAAUAUUGUUUCCACAGAAACCUAAAAUGUGUGCAGAGAUUUAAAUGGAAAUGAGAUCCAGCAAAGUACCAGGAGUGAAGAAGCUGAGAGGAGAUUUCUCCGAUGAUGCUGUGAUGAUGAACCUGCUGGUGUUUCUGCGGCAGCUCUAACCUCUGUCAUUGUUCACCAGCAGAAACCUGGAAAAACACAGAACGACCCACUGACUGACUUUGGAUGAAGAAAGAGGAAGACUCCCACCAGCUUUCAUGGGAGAAGAAGGUCCAAGACUUAAUCAUCGA